AGAUUGAACGCUGGCGGCAUGCCUAACACAUGCAAGUCGAACGGGAGUAGCAAUACUCUAGUGGCGGACGGGUGAGGAAUACGUAGGAAUUUGCCCUUAAGUGGGGGAUAACCCGGGGAAACCCGGAUUAAUACCGCAUGACCUCGAAAGAGCAAAGUGGGGGAUCGCAAGACCUCACGCUUUUGGAGAAGCCUACGUCGGAUUAGCUAGUUGGUGAGGUAAUGGCUCACCAAGGCGACGAUCCGUAACUGGUCUGAGAGGAUGAUCAGUCACACCGGAACUGAGACACGGUCCGGACUCCGUACGGGAGCAGCAGGUGGGGAAUACGUGGACAAGUGGGCGACAAGGCCUAGAU
rnacentral:rRNA from 1 species